GAUGGUGACGAUGAUGGUGAUGAUGGUGAUGGUAGUGAUGAUGAUAGCUAGUAUUAUUUUUUAUGUGCCAAGUACUAGUCUGUGUACUUUGUGUAUUUUAACUCAUUUACUCCUGACAAGAACCUGUUAUAGGUAGGUACUAUUAUUUUCACCAUUUUACAGAUGAGGAAGCUGAGACUUUCCUGUCUUGGGCAAGUGAAACUCACUAAUGGGCUCUCUUCUCAGUACCGAGACUUAGCUCCUUGGGACUCUUGAGAGCUGGGGUUAUGCCGCAUGCAGUGACCCCAAACUCCCACAAGAGGUCACACUACACAGAGAUGUCCCCUAAGCCUCCCGUUGGAACAGCCUCCUGCCAGGGGAGAAAGGACCAGGACCCCAUCGUCACAUCUAGUCGGCAAAACAUGACACUCUCGAGGACAGUGGACUCAGUGGCCCCCCAGAUGGAGGCAGUGGCUCUGUCUGGCACGAGGUGACCCAGCCCCAUCUCCCCCUACCCGCCUUGGCUCUGUACAAUCAGAAGAGCUCAGCCCCACUGGGGCAGAAGGAAAAACAGCCCCAGUUCAGAGACUCCCGGGGGACACGAAAGGCAGCAGAAGCCUGGAGAACACAGCCCCACCCUCAUGUUGCCGUGCGGCCUCCUGUCUGCCCUCCUGUAGCGAGGUGAUUAGCAGAAGGUAACAGCCCUCUUCUUACUCCCAAUUCCCUGCUGAGUUUUUCCAUUUUAAAAUAAAAUAUUUCAAAGAAA